rnacentral:rRNA from 1 species
GACAGAGGUGCCGAGCGUUAGGCGGAAUCACUGGGCUUAAAGCGUGUGUAGGCGGGCUUGUAAGUACCUUGUGAAAUCCCAUGGCUCAACCAUGGAACUGCUUGGUAUACUGCGAUGCUUGAGCCACUUAGGGGCUACCGGAACAAAUGGUGGAGCGGUGAAAUGCGUAGAUAUCAUUUGGAACGCCAAUGGUGAAAACAGGUAGCUGGGAGUGUGCUGACGCUGAGACACGAAAGCCAGGGGAGCGAACGGG